UUCUGGACAGUACAGACAGUGCUGGGUUUGGGAAUACUGCUUGGAAACAGUUGGUGGUUGUGCUGGGGGUUUGAUUGGGAGUUUGAAAGACAGGGAAGGAUGAGAGGAUAUGCAGAGACAAGCACUACCUUGGGGCUGCUUUUUCAAAUCUGGUACAGUGCCUGGGCUGUGGUGUUCCAUUGAGAAGACCAGCGUGACACUGCUGAGCACCCUCCUCCGGCUGGAAGAAACGGAGGCUUUAAAACUUUUCACCCGUACUGCCUGUCCCUGAUUAUCCAGAUGAUGCAAACACAGGAGUUCCUUUUGCCAGCAGAGCAAGACAAGGAAGCCAAAGGACAUUGUUGAUGUUUGAUGGCAGUCUGCAGUUCCUAUUUACACACUUUAAAAUCACAGAGGGUGACCAUCUGCUUCCUUCUGGAUGAUUACGAAGAGACGUGGGAUUCACAAACCAAGGAACUGUCCUUGACCAUUCAUAAACAACCACCAAACGGUCCUGCCCAAAACAGCACAAAGGAGAAAGACGCUCACACGGAAUACGCAGUACAACUGCCCAGCACAGAUGAAGUGGAAAGGAGGAAAAUGGAUGCGCCCUACAAUCCAUCUCCAUUUUCCUGCCAAUCCGACCCGCUCCCCCCACUAUUAAUCUGGCCCGAAGCUCCACGGUGGCUCAGCAGAUAAACAAAGCCUCCCGCCCAGAAAUGCAGUGGAAGCCAGGGCUUUCAGCGGUGGAAUACAAAUGAAGGAGCUUUCCUGCCUUGUGACUGAAGGGGACCGAACUCGUGAUCACUAGCAGCUCGGUUCAGGCAUGCAAGUCACCAGCUCGCGGGAAAGCGGUGCUGGCCCAGGUCACAGCACACCGUGCGAGAAUGGAAACGCUGUUGUCGCCAGAGAACAAGCAGCUCAUGUGCUGACGGGGCAGAGGGAGGGCAUCUCACGGCGAGAUCAGCCUUGAUCUGCCACGGGAUUACAGGGGCCUCAGAGGCGGCUGAUUAAUAAUUCCGCAGGAGCCCUUGAGCUGCAAAGCUGGCGCUCUGAGUCUAACAAUCCCCAGUCCUAACACAAAGGAAGGACAAGAAUUGAACCACGGUUCUCAAUUGUGAAAUUCAGAAUUUGAAAGAAACAGGGAUCCACUUCUUCCUGACUGUGUUUGUCAAACUAGCUGCCUGCUUGUUUGUGUUAAAUGGCUACUGUGCUUUUUGAAUCCAAAAUCUGAUUAUAUUUAAUUAGUAUAGGCAUCUGGGAUU